CCACACCCGCCCCGUCACACCAUGGGGAGUUGGCUUUUACCUGAAGACGAUGCGCUAAACCGCAAGGAGGCAGCCGGCCACGGUAGGGUCAGCGACUGGGGGUG
rnacentral:rRNA from 1 species